UACGUAGGGUGCAAGCGUUAAUCGGAAUUACUGGGCGUAAAGCGUGCGCAGGCGGUUUGGUAAGACAGAUGUGAAAUCCCCGGGCUUAACCUGGGAAUUGCAUUUGUGACUGCCCGGCUGGAGUGUGUCAGAGGGGGGUAGAAUUCCACGUGUAGCAGUGAAAUGCGUAGAGAUGUGGAGGAAUACCGAUGGCGAAGGCAGCCCCCUGGGAUAACACUGACGCUCAUGCACGAAAGCGUGGGGAGCAAACAGG
rnacentral:rRNA from 1 species